rnacentral:rRNA from 1 species
AGAGCGCACGGAGGAUGCCUUGGCACUAGGAGCCGAAGAAGGACGUGACAAACGACGAAACGCUACGGGGAGCUGUAAGUAAGCAAAGAUCCGUAGAUAUCCGAAUGGGGGAACCCACCGCUUUUAAAAGGGCGGUACGCGAAAGCGAGGUAACGCAGGGAACUGAAACAUCUAAGUACCUGUAGGAAGAGAAAGAAAAAUCGAUUUCCUAAGUAGCGGCGAGCGAAAGGGAAAGAGCCCAAACCAAUGUGCUUGCAUAUUGGGGUUGUAGGACUCUCAAUAAAACGUAUGACAAAGUAUAGUAGAACGAGCUGGAAAGUUAGACCGUAGAAGGUAAAAGUCCUGUAUACGAAAUGCUGAGUUGGCGUGAGAGAGCACCUGAGUACGGCGGAACACGAGGAAUUCCGUCGGAAUCUACCAGGACCAUCUGGUAAGGCUAAAUACUACCUAGUGACCGAUAGUGAACCAGUACCGUGAGGGAAAGGUGAAAAGAACCCCGGGAGGGGAGUGAAAGAGAACCUGAAACCGUGUGCUUACAAGUAGUCAGAGCCCUUUAGGGGGUGAUGGCGUGCCUUUUGUAGAAUGAACCGGCGAGUUACUUUAUCAUGCGAGGUUAAGUGGAAGACAUGGAGCCGAAGCGAAAGCGAGUCUUAAUAGGGCGAAAUAGUAUGAUGGAGUAGACCCGAAACCAAGUGAUCUACCCAUGGCCAGGUUGAAGUUUAGGUAACACUGAAUGGAGGACCGAACCAGGACACGUUGAAAAGUGUUUGGAUGAGCUGUGGGUAGCGGAGAAAUUCCAAUCGAACUUGGAAAUAGCUGGUUCUCUCCGAAAUAGCUUUAGGGCUAGCCUCGUUGUGAGUUUACUGGAGGUAGAGCACUGUUUGGACUAGGGGCCCAUCCCGGGUUACCGAAUUCAGACAAACUCCGAAUGCCAGAUAAAUAUCAACGGGAGUCAGACUGCGGGUGAUAAGGUUCGUAGUCGAAAGGGAAACAGCCCAGACCGCCAGCUAAGGUCCCAAAUUGUAUGUUAAGUGGAAAAGGAUGUGAUGAUGCACAGACAACCAGGAUGUUGGCUUAGAAGCAGCCACCAUUUAAAGAGUGCGUAAUAGCUCACUGGUCGAGUGACAUCGCGCCGAAAAUGUACCGGGGCUAAACAUACAACCGAAGCUGCGGAUAUAACUAAUGUUAUAUGGUAGGAGAGCGUUCUAACAUCAUAGAAGCCGAACUGGAAGGUGAGGUGGAGAGGUUAGAAGUGAGAAUGCCGGUGUGAGUAGCGAAAGAUAGGUGAGAAUCCUAUCCACCGAAAGACUAAGGUUUCCAGAGGAAGGCUCGUCCGCUCUGGGUAAGUCGGGACCUAAGGUGAAGCCGAUAGGUGAAGCCGAUGGACAACAGGUAGAAAUUCCUGUACCACCGAAUAUCGAUUGAGAGAAGUGGGGACAGAGGAGGCUAAUUGAUCGCCCUGAUGGAAUAGGGCGUCUAAGCACAAAGACUGACAAGUAGGCAAAUCCGCUUGUUUAAAGGUUGAAGUGUGAUGGGGAGCGAAAUAUAGUAGCGAAGUCAAUGAAGCCAAACUCUCAAGAAAAGCCGCUAUCGAGAUAAGAGGUGCCCGUACCGCAAACCGACACAGGUAGUUGGGAAGAGAAUUCUAAGGUGAGCGAGAGAACCAUCGUUAAGGAACUCGGCAAAAUGACCCCGUAACUUCGGGAGAAGGGGUGCCUACGAGAGUAGGCCGCAGUGAAUAGGCCCAAGCGACUGUUUAUCAAAAACACAGGUCUCUGCAAAACCGAAAGGUGAAGUAUAGGGGCUGACGCCUGCCCGGUGCUGGAAGGUUAAGAGGAGUGCUUAGCGCAAGCGAAGGUAUGAAUUGAAGCCCCAGUAAACGGCGGCCGUAACUAUAACGGUCCUAAGGUAGCGAAAUUCCUUGUCGGGUAAGUUCCGACCCGCACGAAAGGCGUAACGAUUUGGGCACUGUCUCAACGAUGGACUCGGUGAAAUCAUAGUACCUGUGAAGAUGCAGGUUACCCGCGACAGGACGGAAAGACCCCAUGGAGCUUUACUGUAGCUUGAUAUUGAAUUUUGAUGCAGUAUGUACAGGAUAGGUAGGAGCCUAGGAAUCAUGCACGCCAGUGUAUGAGGAGGCGUUGUUGGGAUACUACCCUUGCUGUAUUGAAAUUCUAACCCUCGGCAUAGAAAACCGGGAGACAGUGUCAGGUGGGCAGUUUGACUGGGGCGGUCGCCUCCUAAAGAGUAACGGAGGCGUUCA